rnacentral:rRNA from 1 species
AUUAUUAAGCGGAGGAAAAGAAACUAACCAGGAUUCCCUCAGUAGCUGCGAGCGAACAGGGAAGAGCCCAGCACCGAAUCCCGCGGCCGGCACCGGACGCCGGGAAAUGUGGUGUUAGGGAGGAUCCGUCAUCCCGAGAUGUCGCGACGCGUCCAAGUCCUUCUUGAACGGGGCCACAACCCAGAGAGGGUGCCAGGCCCGUAGUGACCGUCGCGCGUCGCGGGAGGAUCUCUCCUCAGAGUCGGGUUGCUUGAGAGUGCAGCCCUAAGCGGGUGGUAAACUCCAUCUAAGGCUAAAUAUGACCACGAGACCGAUAGCGAACAAGUACCGUGAGGGAAAGUUGAAAAGCACUUUGAAGAGAGAGUUCAAGAGUACGUGAAACCGUUCAGGGGUAAACCUGAGAAACCCGAAAGGUCGGCGGGGAAAUUCAUCGCGUCUCGGCGCUCGGCGUCGGGCGGGCGGUGACGGGCGCGGCUCUCGGGCCGCGACCGCGCCGCCCGCACGGCCAGACCGGGCUCGAACGCGUGCACUUUUCCUCUUGUCGGACGUCGCGAUCCGUUGGGCGUCGGUCCAAGGCCCGCGGUGGAGACCUGCCGGUCACUCGUUUUGCCGGCAGGACCCGCGGUGUUUCCCGACCGACUCGCUCGACGGUACGAAUGUGGCGCGGGGCCGCGACUCAGUUCGCGUCCGGCCCGGAGCAAGCGCGGGCGGUGCGCUCGGUGAUCGGACCUGGUGCCGAUCCCGGCCCCGUCCGGCUGUGGCUUCGGCGUCCUCGGACAGACCCUGUGAAACGCCGAUCGGCGACGCUAUAGCUUUGGGUACUUUCAGGACCCGUCUUGAAACACGGACCAAGGAGUCUAGCAUGUGCGCGAGUCAUUGGGAACUCGACUAAACCUAAAGGCGCAAUGAAAGUGAAGGCCGGCCUCGCGCCGGCCGAGGGAGGAUGGGCGGCGUCGGCUCACACGGGCGGCCGCUCCGCACUCCCGGGGCGUCUCGUUCUCAUCGCGAGAAGAGGCGCACCAAGAGCGUACACGCUGGGACCCGAAAGAUGGUGAACUAUGCCUGGUCAGGACGAAGUCAGGGGAAACCCUGAUGGAGGUCCGUAGCGAUUCUGACGUGCAAAUCGAUCGUCGGAACUGGGUAUAGGGGCGAAAGACUAAUCGAACCAUCUAGUAGCUGGUUCCCUCCGAAGUUUCCCUCAGGAUAGCUGGCGCUCGUAACGUACGAGUCUCAUCCGGUAAAGCGAAUGAUUAGAGGCAUUGGGGUCGAAACGACCUCAACCUAUUCUCAAACUUUAAAUGGGUGAGAUCUCCGGCCUGCUCGAACUUGAGGCCGCGAGAGACACGGAUCAGAGUGCCAAGUGGGCCAUUUUUGGUAAGCAGAACUGGCGCUGUGGNNNNNNNNNNNNNNNNNNNNNNNNNNNNNNNNNNNNNNNNNNNNNNNNNNNNNNNNNNNNNNNNNNNNNNNNNNNNNNNNNNNCGGUGGCCAUGGAAGUCGGAAUCCGCCAAGGAGUGUGUAACAACUCACCUGCCGAAGUUACUAGCCCUGAAAAUGGAUGGCGCUGAAGCGUCGUGCUUAUACUCGGCCGUCAGAGGCAUGUGCGGUCCGCGCGCGCGCGGGCCAUGAAGCCCUGACGAGUAGGAGGGUCGCGGCGGUGAGCGCAGAAGGGCUGGCCGCGAGGCCGUCUGGAGCCGCCGUCGGUGCAGAUCUUGGUGGUAGUAGCAAAUACUCCAGCGAGGCCCUGGAGGACUGACGUGGAGAAGGGUUUCGUGUGAACAGCCGUUGCACACGAGUCAGUCGAUCCUAAGCCCUAGGCGAAAGCCGAUGUCGAUGCGGUGUACUGUUUACGAUGCAAUGCACACACCCGUCGGGCGAAAGGGAAUCCGGUUCCUAUUCCGGAACCCGGCAGCGGAACCGUCAAUAAGUCGGGCCCUCGCAAGAGAGUUCGUCGGGGCAACCCAAAAGGACCCGGAGACGCCGUCGGGAGAUCCGGGAAGAGUUUUCUUUUCUGCAUGAGCGUUCGAGUUCCAUGGAAUCCUCUAGCAGGGAGAUAUGGUUUGGAACGCGAAGAGCACCGCAGUUGCAGCGGUGUCCGGAUCUUCCCCUCGGACCUUGAAAAUCCGGGAGAGGGCCACGUGGAGGCGUCGCGCCGGUUCGUACCCAUAUCCGCAGCAGGUCUCCAAGG